AUUGAACGCUGGCGGCAUGCCUUACACAUGCAAGUCGAACGGUAACAGGUUAAGCUGACGAGUGGCGAACGGGUGAGUAAUAUAUCGGAACGUGCCCAGUCGUGGGGGAUAACGUAGCGAAAGCUACGCUAAUACCGCAUACGAUCUACGGAUGAAAGCGGGGGAUCGCAAGACCUCGCGCGAUUGGAGCGGCCGAUAUCAGAUUAGGUUGUUGGUGAGGUAAAAGCUCACCAAGCCUGCGAUCUGUAGCUGGUCUGAGAGGACGACCAGCCACACUGGAACUGAGACACAGUCCAGACUCCUACGGGAGGCAGCAGUGGGGAAUUUUGGACAAUUGACGCAAGUCUGAUCCAGCGAUGCCGCGGGCAGGACGAAGGCCUUCGGGUUGUAAACUGCUUUUGUACGGAACGAAACGGUGAGCUCUAAUACAGUUUGCUAAUGACGGUACCGUAAGAAUAAGCACCGGCUAACUACGUGCCAGCCGCCGCUGUAA
rnacentral:rRNA from 1 species